rnacentral:rRNA from 1 species
UAACACGUAAACAACCUGCCUUCAGGAUGGGGACAACAGACGGAAACGACUGCUAAUACCGAAUAAGUUCCAAGAGCCGCAUGGCCCAUGGAAGAAAAGGUGGCCUCUACCUGUAAGCUAUCGCCUGAAGAGGGGUUUGCGUCUGAUUAGCUGGUUGGAGGGGUAACGGCCCACCAAGGCGACGAUCAGUAGCCGGUCUGAGAGGAUGAACGGCCACACUGAACUGAGACACGGUCCAGACUCUACGGGAGGCAGCAUG